rnacentral:rRNA from 1 species
GAAAUAGCUCCCGCAUGAGACCGUACCCCAAACCGACACAGGUGGACUGGUAGAGCAUACCAAGGCGCUUGAGAGAACUCUGUUGAAGGAACUCGGCAAAUUACUCCCGUAAGUUCGCGAGAAGGGAGCCUGGCAUUAGGCAACUGGUGUCCAGGGGCACAGACCAGGGGGUGGCGACUGUUUAUUAAAAACACAGGGCUCUGCGAAGUCGCAAGACGACGUAUAGGGUCUGACGCCUGCCCGGUGCCGGAAGGUUAAAAGGAGGGGUG